rnacentral:misc_RNA from 1 species
ACAAAGGAUUGAUGACACGCAUUUUCUUCGAUGCGUGUCAUAUCCCGCCAUCACAAGACUAGUUGGUUCGGUAUUCUAGGAUGUGAAUGGACGCCAAACACUGCCGUCGGUUUUUGAAAAUUGGUACAUAGAACGAAAUAUCUCCGACGAAACUUCAUACAAUAAUAUGUAUGUACAGUAAUAUUCAUUAAUGCCUUUCGAUUCCGGCUAAUUUUUUUUCAAUUUGAAACAAAAUGUGAAUUCGAUUCUACACGUGAGAGAAUGUAAAGGUAAAGGAAAGGCAGCAAAAAAUGGUAUCCGGAAGCGAAAAGCAUUGAUGAACAUUACCCCACGUGCAAUGAACUAAAUUAGCGGACUAACGUACAGUGGAUCAAAGUGCAACGGAAUUGCGUUUCACCAUCGGAAAAUUAACUCCUUAAUCUCGCUACACGUCGUGCCAUUAUACUUUCAUGAAUUUUCGCACAGGUAUAUUACUACGAUAUCGUAUGUUUAUAGGACAACUGAUAGAAUAUUGAUGAAUAAUUGUAAAACGGCUAUGCGUGCAUCGAGGUAUUGUUUUCAAAACUACCAUAACCGGAACAUAUGCUAAUGAUAGAUUGAAUUAACUUUAGAGGGCAGCGCACGUGUAAUUACACUUCACGAGUAGUGCAGCCAAAAAUUGGCAGCAUGAGUUAGGUUUAGAACAACUAAAUCAUUUGAACGGAAAUUUCAAUUACCUUCAAUUUGACAACGACGUGCUUAAAAUGUGCCGGCCUCAACGUUCGAAAAAACAAAUUUUACUCAACUUCCAUGGCAGUAUACGCAAGCUUUUGACAAUCUGAGAAAAUUAGGUUUUUCUAGAUCUCACGUGGCCUUUGCCAUACAAUUCAAACCACAAGACUACCGUCUCUCGACUACAUUAGAAUAUGGUUUUUAAAGUGUCGCCAACAUUGCUUAAGGAUUCAAAUCGAAUUAUGGAUCCUGUCUACAGAUGGAUUUUCCAAAUUCUUUGGAGGUCUGUGAAAUUACCCUAACCAUUUCAAUAAUUAUCUAAAACUGUUCAUUGGCUUUGCUAUACCUCCUGGAAACGUAAAUGCUUCGAACAAGCGAGGUUUGACCUUUGCAUCCCGAAGUGCAUAGUGCUGAAAUAAUUUAUGGCAUAUGCGAUUAAUUAUUCAAUAAUCCAGUGGCGAUAGCCAUUGAACAGAGUAAUUUAUUUCCAGGCAUUAAGUCCAAGUCUUCCUUACUCCCUAGCCUCUCUUCCCCAAAGAACAAUAAAUUACUGCAAGAAGUCAAAGAGAGCUUGUCUGCGUUUAGUGCUAGUUUCAGGUGGAUCACGAUAGAGCAUUUUUGGUUUGAACAUGAACUGCCAUUGACUUGUGGCACCACCGCCAAAGUUCGCUCUGUGGCAGUAAUUCUUGGGAUCCUGAGGGUAAUCGGUGGUACCAAGGGACUAUAAAAUAGUAUUUGAAGACAAUUUGUUGAAAAUUAUCCUUGAAAAUGUCACAAGCUACGUAUAUUCAGGACAUGAUGGCAGAUCCUGCGCUGGAGAUCUCAGGUCCGCAAGAAGUUGCAAGUUUUUACGCCAACCGUAAUGUCCUGCUAACAGGGGGUGCCGGUUUUUUGGGAAGGCUUUUGGCAGAAAAAAUAUUACGUUCCUGUCCGGAUGUAAAAAGUUUGUUGAUACUCUUGCGAGCGAAAAAAGGACGGAGUCCUAAGGAGAGACUCAAGCUGCUCUUCGAAGACUCUAUGUUCGACCGGCUGAGAAAAGAGCAGCCUGGAUAUUCGCGAAAGGUUGUGCCGAUCGAUGGCGAUAUAUCACAAGUUGGCUUGGGUUUGUCCGAAGAGCACAGAGAGUUGCUUCGAACUACCCACAUCGUGAUACAUGCUGCAGCGACUGUGCGAUUCGACGAAAGUUUGCGAGUCGCCGUCAACGUCAACGUUAGGGGGACCAACGAGCUCUUAUCGCUCGCACGGGAAAUGAGGAAUCUUAAGGCAUUUGUUCACGUCUCAACUGCCUACUCAAAUUGUGUUCAAGACCUGGUCGAAGAAAAAUUUUAUCCACCACCAAUAGAUGGGGACAAACUAUUCAACUUGUUGGACAUACUAGAUGACGCUUCCCUGGAGCACUUGGUUCCCAUGCUCCUGAGCAAAUGGCCGAAUACCUACGCUUUCACUAAGGUAAUUGCCGAGGACAGUAUUCGCCGUAACUGUCAUAAUCUACCAGUGUGCGUGGUAAGACCAUCGAUAGUAAUCGCCACAGCGAAAGAACCUGUGCCUGGUUGGAUAAACAACGUCUAUGGUGCUACCGGAAUUGUACUCGGUGUUGCCGUCGGGUUGCUGCAUACUCUGCACUGCGACCCGGAACUUGUCGCCGACAUGAUUCCCGCAGACUACGUCGUCAACACGAUCAUUGUUGCGGCCUGGGAUGUCGCCAAAACUCGAUGUAUCAACAUCGAGAAUGCGGUUAACGUCAUGGUUCCGGAGGUAGAAGACGUGCCGAUUUAUAACUCCGUUUCAUCCUGCCAGAAACCCAUCACCUGGGGACAAUUUAUGAAGUAUACUAGUGAAUUGGGAUUGGAAACACCAUCCUUGGCGACCGUAUGGAUUCGCUUCUUGAAACUUAAUAAGUAUAAUUGGCUGCACAAAGUUUACAUGGUUUUUUGUCACCUUCUUCCUGCUAUCAUUGUCGACAGCUUGGCUAGGCUCACCGGAAGAAAACCCGUAUUAUGGGACGCGUACAAGAAGAUUCACAAGUUCAGCACUGUGAUCAAAUAUUUUACGCUACGACAAUGGCGGUUCAAUAACAACAGUGUCCUACGACUGUGGGAUAAACUAAGUUCCGCCGAUCAGAGUAUAUUCGAAUUCAACGUGGAGGGCCUCAACUGGGAAGAUUACAGUUACAGUCACGUUCGUGGUAUCCGUGUAUAUCUUGCAAAGGAUCCUUUGGACACUAUACCGGCAGCGGCAGCGAAAUACACCAGGAUCAAGAUAGCUCACUAUACCCUGUUGACAGCUAUCUGCGGAAUUUUUUUGUGGCUGAUACGGUCGUUACUACGAGUUGUUGGCUUAUGGUAAUUUUCUGGUGAUCGCAGUUCAUCUACAGCCGAAUUUCAACGUGCGUAAAUAAUCUUACAAUUGAUUUGAAAGGCGCCAAAAGAAUCGGACUCUUUUACGUGGCUGACAGUGAAACGUUUUUUUUUUAUUACUGGAGUUGAUUAUCAUAAAACAUUUACAUCUUGGCGUACGGAUGCACCUCCAAUAACGUUGUUUGUCCAAGAAGCUUACGUGUGAAUCAGGUGUGACGAUUUGUAAAGGUUUGUCUGUCUUUCCGAUUCGAUCUCUCUGCCCUAAAAUGAAUCAUAACAUACUUGGUCCUAGUGUCCGAACUAAUAAUAACGUCUCAUUGAUACAUAUUGCACGAUAAUCUCUUUGAAUCUGGGUUUCAAAAGGGGCGGAUCCAGAAGGUUCAGACGGGGUGGUGAAAAGAAUUUUUGUAAAUGAAUAUAUAUUCAUUUAUAUACAUAUAUCUUGCAUAUGAAUAUAUUUUCAUUUAUAUACAUUUUCAAUUGUCUCUCAUGAAAAUUGCCUAUUCGCAGAUACUAGUAUACAUAUUAUAAACGUAUAAAAAUAAAUAAUGUUCUCCGAUUAAAAAUGUUAUGUUAUGUGUUAUGUGAACGAUAUUAUUGCAAUGAAACUGAUAAUUCUUAACUCAAUUAGAAAAGGACUAAAGAUAUACAAAUUCACUAUAAAAAAGUUGGUUUGAGAAAGUCUCCUAAUGUUUGAAAUUUUCAAAUUUUUGUUGCUUAUGGGGCAGGGGGUUGGUCAAUCGCACCUAGUGCCCCCCUUGGAUUGGCCACUGGUUUCAAGAAAGUGGAAAACAUUUGUGAGCGCAAUUUGGAUAUGCAAAUAAGUAAAUCGCGCCACAAUCGCUUCGUUAUAACGACAUGUUGUCAUUAUUCUCAAUACAAGAAAGUGAUAAACGUGUGGUGACAUCAGCGCUCUUGUGAGGAAAAGUAAUUUAUCGAGCAUGCCUAACACAGGAAACGAGUAAUGGCGUCAGAAUGAUUUGACUUCCCUGGCGCACAAUCAUUUAUAUUCGCAUAAAUUUAAAAGUCGAUUUCACCUGUAACACUGUCGUUUCGAUUGACAUCGGAGCAGUCUUUGGAUAGUGAAUUUGUAUCCCUCGCUGCAACCCAUGAUUUCUAUACAAAAAUGUUCGUUCAAUCGACAGGUUCAUAUAAAAUCUACAGGUCCUUGGUAUAAUCUGUAAUAAAUGCAGGCAUGGUAGAACCUCGAAAUAGUUAUUUACACAACUAUCGCAAUUUUUUAAGUGAUGUUGUACGUUUAUUUACAUAAAUUGGGCCCCACAUGCAGGUGCAAUGUUUAUUGCUAUUUUUUCACGCGAUGAUCCAGCUCCGAAUUCAAAUUUGUUCACCGACACUAGACUUGAUUGUCAAAGGCCUCACGCCAUUCACUAUACUUGUGUGAAAUAUAUUGAAUUGGUCGUACCCUGUAGUUUCCAGCUUCUUCUACAUACGAAUAUAUGUCACGGAAAGGAACGUGAAAGAUCCUUCGAAGCUCAGGGAUUAUAACUGGAGUACUGGUUCUCCCUGUGAAAGUAGUUGCAAUGAGUAAGAACAAGUUAUCGAUAUUUCUGUAGUGUCUUACCUAGUUUUCGAAUUACACGGAGAGAAAAAACUUGCGAUUAAUGCAAGAGAAUUCAUUUACUCCAUGCGUUAAGUCAACCUGUGAAUCUCCUCAAAUUGUGCGUGUGAAAAUUUUAUACAAAAUACUUAAUAGUAUCAGAUUUUAGCGAUGCCCAAAGAAUUACCAAGUUAAGUCUCGAAUAAGUACCCAUAUUUUCAAUUUCAGACAGUCACAUUGUAAAUUUACUGAAUAUCUAACAAUUUACUAAAUUUGAAAAGUAAAUGCUCUUGUAAAUUUAUUUAAAAUUGUAUUGUUAGUGCGAGAUCUGAAAUUAUAAUCUUAUUGAUGAUUUUUCAAUGACUGUAUUAUUUGUCAUGUCUGUGUGGAUCGUACAUUGUAUUGUGAAUCAAAUAAAGUCAUUGUUUCCCACAACGUAGUUUAGCGUAGUAGGUAAUCCUAUCAUUGCGAGCGAACAGGGUUCGAGCCCAGGUUUUAGAACAAAAUAAUGCGUUAGGUUUACUAAUCGAUCUAAAAUCAGCAAUUCUCCAAGGAUCUCUGAUUUUUUUCACGUCACAGUUUUAAUAUAGAUUUGCGAUGAAAAACCUUGCGUGUUAUCAGUACGUGUUAAAAUAGGUUGACAAAGGUAAAAAAUAAUUUUCAUCUACCCUUAUCCAGUGAUAGUCUUGACGUUCAUGUGAUACGUAUAAGACACGUAUCCCAUAUACAUUAACAACCGGGUUACUAUUAUACGUGAAUCGGAGUGACGUACUUAAAACGUAUAAAUAUGACUGAUAUUAUACUCAUGAAAAUAUCCGUCUCAAAAACCUUCCGACAAUACCUAUUAGAAUCGGUUAAUAAACGUAAAAAAUAACGUUUAUGUGGCGGACAUUAUGAAGAGUGUUAUCCGUGCGUGAUCGACGUUUUCUUAACUUAUGGUUUAUACUCUUGCUCAACGUUUAUCAUACUAUCGUGUGUCUGUUGGGUGUACCUCUGAAAGAGUUGAAUGGAAUCGAACCUUUUUGGGGCACGGGUUAGAGUUGAGAUAAAAAUUUGAAAAAAUUAACGAAUUCAUUUUGAAUUAUGUGGAACCGAUUUGGGGGGUAAGCCGGGCGAAAUUCGAAAAUGACCUUUUUAAGGCCGACCCUAGUGUUCUCUUACUGUUAUCCUUCUUCCCACUUCAUAAAGCUACGAAUAACAAUUAGUCGGACAGUGACACUCGGCGGGUUUU